rnacentral:rRNA from 1 species
UUAGUUUACUAUUGGAGCGGUUAGUGGCGGACUGGUGAGUAACACGUAAGCAACCUGCCUAUCAGAGGGGAACAACAGUUAGAAAUGACUGCUAAUACCGCAUAUGCCUAAGUACCACAUGGUACAAUAGGGAAAGGAGCAAUCCGCUGAUAGAUGGGCUUGCGUCUGAUUAGAUAGUUGGUGGGGUAAAGGCCUACCAAGUCGACGAUCAGUAGCCGGACUGAGAGGUUGAACGGCCACAUUGGGACUGAGAUACGGCCCAGACUCC